AUGAAGAAACCGAGAGAUGCUGCAAAGCAGUGCUAAACCCGCUUUGCAGAGCCAACGGGGAAAAUACGCAAAAACUCUCUGGCAAAAGAAUCGGUUUUGGACG
rnacentral:ncRNA from 2 species